rnacentral:rRNA from 1 species
AGCGAACGCUGGCGGCAGGCCUAACACAUGCAAGUCGAACGCCCCGCAAGGGGAGUGGCAGACGGGUGAGUAACGCGUGGGAACGUACCUUUCGGUUCGGAAUAACCCGGGGAAACUCGGGCUAAUACCGGAUACGUCCGCAAGGAGAAAGAUUUAUCGCCGAAAGAUCGGCCCGCGUUGGAUUAGCUAGUUGGUGAGGUAAUGGCUCACCAAGGCGAUGAUCCAUAGCUGGUCUGAGAGGACGAUCAGCCACACUGGGACUGAGACACGGCCCAGACUCCUACGGGAGGCAGCAGUGGGGAAUAUUGGACAAUGGGCGCAAGCCUGAUCCAGCCAUGCCGCGUGAGUGAUGAAGGCCUUAGGGUUGUAAAGCUCUUUUACCAGGGAAGAUAAUGACGGUACCUGGAGAAUAAGCCCCGGCUAACUUCGUGCCAGCCGCCGCCGUAACAC